CGGGAUUAUUAAAGUAAUUAAUUUUGAAUAUCAAAUCAAGGUUCCAGUUUAGGAACAGAGUUUUAUUGGGAAUUAUCCCCAUAUGUAUAUGUUAGUGUUUUAAAAUUCAUCCUAACAAGGAUUUCUAUAGAGUGAGUGCUACUCUCAUCCGUACAAAGGCAUUCCAAAGGGGUAUUAUGUAAAACUUCAUAGAAGACAGAUUGCAUAAAAUAUAAGAGAAGUACAUGUUACACAAAUUAAGGGUUUAACCUUAAUCUCUAAUUUAAGUUUUAGCCUAGGUAAUUAAUUCAUGUUGUAUUGAUUCUUAUGUUUGUAUGAUUGUAGAGACCGUCCUGGAGUGUUUGUGCCGCCUGAUUUCUGGGACUACACACCAAUCUCUCUGGCUGACCAUGCAAUAAGUAUUUUGCAAUUACAUCUGUUUGGUCAUUAUCCAUGCAGGCCGAAGAAACUGAGAUACUUAUUUACGAGGACAUAAACUUUGCACGCAAGAACCUGGAAAGUCCUGAAGGUGCAGUGCUGUCUAAUGCCGCUGGUUCUGUAAUAACCCUUUCAACCAUUGGGGUGUUGCACAGAGCUUUGUGGUGAAAAUCCAGCAAACAAAAGAAGAACUAAGAACUAUGUGGAAGCUGACAUUGUCUUGUUGUCAGCCAUAUUCCUACCCUUAUCCAUUUUAUAGAACAAAAUGUCUGGUGUCUAAACUAAUUUCUUUAUACUCUGUGAAAGACUUAUUCUAUUUUUCUGAACUAUGCUGAACUAUUGAACUAUUUUUAUUUUUAUUUUUGUAGAGUUAGCCAGAGAGAGAGGAAGUGUUAGCUGACCCAGGGAUGGAUGUACUAUGUGUGUUUUUAUAUAUGUUGAGUGUGCCAAGGAUGGAUUCCCAUGUUUUGAGGAACUGCGUGAGGAUAUGACUGGUUUUGACUGGACUUUUGGAAUAGGGAAAUGGUUAAAAGAUAUAGGACGCAAGGUCCUGGUUGUGCAAUAAUAUAGUUGCUAUAAGCCCAAGUUCCAUUCUGUCUUAAACAUCCAUUUUCUAUAUAUCUGUCUGCAAAAGUAUUAAGUGGUUUUUGUUUUGUUUUUUUUUCUGCUGAGUUUCUGUUUCUUGUAGACCACAUGAUUGCUUGGGAAUGCCAUAAUGUGGAAAUUUCUCUGUCUUGGGAGAAUGUUAACCGAUGAUAUGAGCAAUAUAUAUUGCUCAAAGAGGGGUAACAAUUGUGAUUAUUGGGGCUCAGUUGGAUGGAACACCGGGACAGAUUGGGGCCACAGAAUGCAUUAGAUAAAAAGGAUAAGAAUGGGAAGUCCCUCUUGACUAG